CGUGCUUUGCUCUGUUUCAGAUUUCACAUGCAGAAAUUAAACAGGAUUUCAACUGCUGAGACACAAUUCAUCAAAAGUAAGGUAAGUUUUAAUUCAUUGAUUUGAGUUGUACAAUGUGUUCUUUACUUUAUUUCAGAUUCGAGUCACUGGUUUACACAUGGAAGAAGAUUUCCACGUCUGUUACUCAACUCUACAGAAGCAAGGUAAGUCGAUCAAAUUUUUGUUUUCAUUGACUGCUGUAAUGUGAUGUUAUGCUAUUUUUCAUGUGUGCUAUGCAGAGAUGGAGAAUUCAAUUUUAAGAAAGAUUAACUGCUGCAGCUUAGCUCUGCUCUGUGUUGAUUUUUGUUCAAAAACGUUUAAAAUGUAUGUGUGUUUUCAGAUGUUUUGUUUCAGUUGAUGUCCAGAUGGCAAGCAGUACAGACGUGUUUCUUGGAGCUGCCAAACAUUCGUUUCAGGUAUGACAUGACAUGAAGAGUUGACAGUCGAACAGAGCUGAGCAACGCAGAAAGGUGUACUUGUAGUCAGCGACGAAGACGAUUCAAGAAGAGGAACAUUGCUGAGAAAGUGAAUGGGACUUGCAAACAGGGUAAGUGUUACAAUUGUUUGUUUGAUUUUUACCAUGCAUACUUUGCUUUGCUCUGUUUCAGAUUUCACAUGCAGAAAUGGUCUCAUAGCAGUGCCAACA